rnacentral:rRNA from 1 species
GAUGAACGCUAGCGGCAGGCUUAACACAUGCAAGUCGAGGGGUAUAGUUCUUCGGAGCUAGAGACCGGCGCACGGGUGCGUAACGCGUAUGCAAUCUACCUUUUGCAGAGGGAUAGCCCAGAGAAAUUUGGAUUAAUACCUCAUAGUAUGUGAGAAUGGCAUCAUUUUCACAUUAAAGUCACAACGGCGAAAGAUGAGCAUGCGUCCCAUUAGCUUGUCGGUAAGGUAACGGCUUACCAAGGCAACGAUGGGUAGGGGUCCUGAGAGGGAGAUCCCCCACACUGGUACUGAGACACGGACCAGACUCCUACGGGAGGCAGCAGUGAGGAAUAUUGGACAAUGGGCGCAAGCCUGAUCCAGCCAUGCCGCGUGCAGGAUGACGGUCCUAUGGAUUGUAAACUGCUUUUGUACAGGAAGAAACACUGGUUCGUGAACCAGCUUGACGGUACUGUAAGAAUAAGGAUCGGCUAACUCCGUGCCAGCCGCCGCCGUAAGAC